rnacentral:rRNA from 1 species
AUGCUCCAGUCCGUCGCGCGACUUGACAAAUCCUCGGGCUUCUUUCCCGUGGCCUGCUGUGACGGCCUCCUCGUCUUACACACCUGGAAUACGAGGGGUAAGGGGCUCUCCAUCUGCAACCCGGUCACUCGUCAAUAUGCUCCCGUCCACAAGCUUGAUGGCUUCAGGUUCUUGGGGAUGUACCCUCACUUCCCUACCGGCGAGUACCGACUGUUGCUGUGCCCGGACCCGUGGUUCAUGGCUGAUAAACUGGUACCUCACGCUCAAAGUGGCUUCUAUGUCUUCACAUUAGGCUCUGCCCAGCCUCCCAGGCACAUAGGUGGCCUUGUUGCAGAGGAACUGAUGAAUUCCCCUGGAUCUAUCCUUUUCCGUGGUAGCUUGCAUUGCCACAUAGACAACCUGAUAACGGUAUUUGACACCACAUCUGAGUUAUUCCGGCAGAUGCGCUCUCCGCUUGUUCCCGACCAUGGCCAUGCUGAUCUGUUUGAGGCAGGUGACAUGCUUGGCAUGUACAGUCUUAAUGAGGAAGAGACCAUCGUUGAUAUAUGGGUGAUGCAGGACUAUGAAGGCGAAGUUUGGGCCUCCAAAGGCCGGGUUGAAUUGCCGAUUACAGAGAUAAUGGCGCAAUUUGGAAACUUUGGCGCUUGUUGGGAUGUGGAGGCUGCAUAUUGGGAUGGCGAUGUGUUCGUGCUCGCCAAAUUUGACAAUGACUCGCUACUUCGGGUUAACAUUGAUGGCAAGUUAGUUGAUAGUCUGCAUCGCAGAUUCCUCUGGCAUACCGGACUUCGGCUCAAACAAUCUCUAGUUUCACAUAACUUCUUUUCGUCAAUAGAUGACUGCUGA